rnacentral:rRNA from 1 species
UACGGAGGAUCCAAGCGUUAUCCGGAUUCAUUGGGUUUAAAGGGUGCGUAGGCGGAAGAGUAAGUCAGUGGUGAAAGCCUGCAGCUUAACUGCAAAAUUGCCAUUGAUACUGCUCAUCUUGAGUACAUUUGAUGUGGGCGGAAUGUGUCAUGUAGCGGUGAAAUGCAUAGAUAUGACACAGAACACCGAUUGCGAAGGCAGCUCACAAAACUGUAACUGACGCUGAGGCACGAAAGCGUGGGGAUCGAACAGG